rfam:Mortierella elongata AG-77 unplaced genomic scaffold K457scaffold_129, whole genome shotgun sequence.
UUGUUGCAAUAGUAAUUGAACGUAGUACAAGAGGAACCGUUCUUUCGGAUAAUCGGUAUUUACGCCUGCCUGAGCAGGCAAUGGCCCGAAGCUAUCAUCCGCUGGGCUAUGGCUAAAAACGCCUCCAAAUCAGAACCCGUGCUAAAACCUGACGA